GGGACAACAGUUGGAAACGACUGCUAAUACCGCAUAAGCGCACAGCUUCGCAUGAAGCAGUGUGAAAAACUCCGGUGGUACAAGAUGGACCCGCGUCUGAUUAGCUGGUUGGUGAGGUAACGGCCCACCAAGGCGACGAUCAGUAGCCGGCCUGAGAGGGUGAACGGCCACAUUGGGACUGAGACACGGCCCAAACUCCUACGGGAGGCAGCAGUGGGGAAUAUUGCACAAUGGGGGAAACCCUGAUGCAGCAACGCCGCGUGAGUGAAGAAGUAUUUCGGUAUGUAAAGCUCUAUCAGCAGGAAAGAAAAUGACGGUACCUGACUAAGAAGCCCCGGCUAACUACGUGCCAGCAGCCGCGGCAAUACGUAGGGGGCAAGCGUUAUCCGGAUUUACUGGGUGUAAAGGGAGCGUAGACGGUUUUGCAAGUCUGAAGUGAAAGCCCGGGGCUUAACCCCGGGACUGCUUUGGAAACUGUAGGACUAGAGUGCAGGAGAGGUAAGUGGAAUUCCUAGUGUAGCGGUGAAAUGCGUAGAUAUUAGGAGGAACACCAGUGGCGAAGGCGGCUUACUGGACUGUAACUGACGUUGAGGCUCGAAAGCGUGGGGAGCAAACAGGAUUAGAUACCCUGGUAGUCCACGCCGUAA
rnacentral:rRNA from 1 species